rnacentral:tRNA from 1 species
GUUGUAGCUCCGUGGUAGAGCACUUGCCUAGCAUGCAUGAGGCCCUGGGUUUGAUUCUCAACACAACA